UACGGGGGAUGCAAGCGUUGUCCGGAAUCAUUGGGCGUAAAGAGUUCGUAGGUGGCCUGUUAAGUCUGGUGUUAAAUGCAGAGGCUCAACUUCUGUUCGGCACUGGAUACUGGCAAGCUUGAAUGCGGUAGAGGUAAAGGGAAUUCCUGGUGUAGCGGUGAAAUGCGUAGAUAUCAGGAGGAACAUCGGUGGCGUAAGCGCUUUACUGGGCCGUAAUUGACACUGAGGAACGAAAGCCAGGGUAGCAAAUGGGAUUAGAUACCCCAGUAGUCCUGGCCGUAAACGAUGGAUACUAGGUGUUGCGGGUAUCGACCCCUGCAGUGCCGAAGCUAACGCGAUAAGUAUCCCGCCUGGGGAGUACGCACGCAAGUGUGAAACUCAAAGGAAUUGACGGGGACCCGCACAAGCGGUGGAACAUGUGGUUUAAUUCGAAGCAACGCGAAGAACCUUACCAGGGCUUGACAUCUGACGAAUCCCGAUGAAAGUUGGGAGUGCUCUUCGGAGAGCGUCAAGACAGGUGGUGCACGGUUGUCGUCAGCUCGUGUCGUGAGAUGUUGGGUUAAGUCCCGCAACGAGCGCAACCCACGUUGUCAGUUGGUAUUAACGGUAUACUGUUAAUAACCUCUCUGGCGAGACUGCCGGUGAUAAACCGGAGGAAGGUGUGGACGACGUCAAAUCAUCAUGCCCCUUAUGCUCUGGGCUACACACGUGUUACAAUGGCUGGUACAACGAGUCGCCAACUCGCGAGAGUGAGCAAAUCUCUAAAAGCCAGUCUCAGUUCGGAUUGCACUCUGCAACUCGAGUGCAUGAAGUCGGAAUCGCUAGUAAACGCAGAUCAGCACGCUGCGUUGAAUACGUUCCCGGGUCUUGUACUCACCGCCCGU
rnacentral:rRNA from 1 species